rnacentral:rRNA from 1 species
CCUACGGGUGGCUGCAGUGAGGAAUAUUGGUCAAUGGACGCAAGUCUGAACCAGCCAUGCCGCGUGCAGGAAGACGGUACUAUGUGUUGUAAACCGCUUUUGUACGAGGGCAAACGCAGAGACGCGUAUCUGUCUGAAAGUAUCUUAAGAAAAAGGAUCGGCUAACUCCGUGCCAGCAGCCGCGGUAAUACGGAGGAUUCAAGCGUUAUCCGGAUUUAUUGGGUUUAAAGGGUGCGUAGGCGGUCGGUUAAGUUAGAGGUGAAAUCCCGGGGCUCAACCUCGGCACUGCCUCUGAUACUGGUCGUCUCGAGAUUGAGAGCGGUAUGCGGAAUGUGUGGUGUAGCGGUGAAAUGCAUAGAGAUCGUACAGAACACCGAUUGCGAAGGCAGCAUGCCGGG